rnacentral:rRNA from 1 species
GACAGAGGGGGCAAGCGUUGCUCGGAAUCACUGGGCGUAAAGGGCGCGUAGGCGGGAUGGCAAGUCGGUCGUGAAAUCCUUCGGCUCAACCGAAGAACGUCGGCCGAUACUGCCGUUCUUGAGGGAUGCAGAGGAGAUUGGAAUUCCCGGUGUAGCGGUGAAAUGUGUAGAGAUCGGGAGGAACACCGGUGGCGAAGGCGGGUCUCUGGGCAUCACCUGACGCUGAGGCGCGAAAGCGUGGGGAGCAAACGGG